CAGCUUUGUGCUCGGUGCCAGAGAGGCUUCCGGAGGCAGGCAGGGCUGCGUGCAGCCUGGAAGGAUGAGCCAGGCCAGGCGGGAAACGGAAGUCCAGGUAGAAGGGAGGAGCCGAAUUGGGGUACACUCCAUAUGGGCUCAGGCAGGUCAGCCUGUGGAAUGAAUAGAGGCCAACAUGCAGGCCAGCCCGGAAUGCGGCAGGAGUGACAAUGGCUUUCCGUUUCUGGGAAUUCUGCCAGUACCUACAGUGGUGCCUUUUGACUUGGCUUACCUUUUUUCUCGACAUGCAGGCAGCGUCUAUCCCAGACUACCGGGGCCCUAAUGGAGUGUGGACACUGCUUCAGAAAGGGAGAAGCGUUAGUGCUGCCGACCUGAGCGAGGCCGAGCCAACCCUCACCCACAUGAGCAUCACCCGUCUGCAUGAGCAGAAGCUGGUGCAGCAUGUGGUGUCUCAGAACUGUGACGGGCUCCACCUGAGGAGUGGGCUGCCACGCACGGCCAUCUCCGAGCUCCACGGGAACAUGUACAUUGAAGUGAGCAGUCCUGCAGGGACCCGGGGUCUCCAUGGGCAGGCGGGUCCCACUCACUGUGCCCUCUUGCCUCUAGGUCUGUACCUCCUGCGUUCCCAACAGGGAGUACGUGCGGGUGUUCGAUGUGACGGAGCGCACCGCCCUCCACAGACACCAGACAGGCCGGACCUGCCACAAGUGUGGGACCCAGCUGCGGGACACUAUUGUGCACUUUGGGG
rnacentral:sRNA from 1 species